GGGGACGAUCUGGUUUCGACGAAAAACGUUCUUUAAAAACUGCAAGUCGAGUUUGGUUUUAACUCGUAAAAAAUAAACCAAAAUUUAAGCGUCAAUUCAAACAAUUACGCUCUUGCCUACGCCUAAAAAGGCAAUAUCGCAAGCAUUCUAGAUUAAUGUUUCUUGACCGUUUUUUUAGAGUGUAAACCCGUCAAGAUGCAGCUUUAAACCUUUGGUUUAGGGUUUUUAGCUAAAGAUAAUUAAACCUUAUCUUGGCUUAAUCUGCUGUUCUUUUUAACCAGGAGAAAAGUAAGAAUAGCUAAACUUGUAGAUGUCUUUAAAUUAUUUUUUCGGACGAGGGUUCGAUUCCCUCCGUCUCCACAA
rfam:Candidatus Woesebacteria bacterium RBG_16_36_11 RBG_16_scaffold_13, whole genome shotgun sequence.